CCUACGGGAGGCAGCAGUAGGGAAUAUUGGGCAAUGGAGGCAACUCUGACCCAGCCAUGCCGCGUGCAGGAUGAAGGCCUUCUGGGUUGUAAACUGCUUUUAUCUAGGAAGAAAAUACCCUUGCGAGGGGAACUGACGGUACUAGGUGAAUAAGCACCGGCUAAAUGCGUGCCAGCAGCCGCGGUAAU
rnacentral:rRNA from 1 species